CUGGGAAAAAUGUUGCAAAAACGAGGAAAGUAAUUCAUAUUUGAAGCCUUCCAUUGCGUAAAUUGUUCAAGUUACACAAAAAAUAUGUUUAUUAUUAUUCAUCUUUAAAUAAACUGAAAGAAUGUCUGCAACAGUAUAUGUCUAUCUUUUGAGACUGACUCACUUAUAACUUUUCAUGAGCUUUGUUACAAAGCGAAUUUUGGAAUGGUAACGCCAUCUUAAAGUUUCUUUAUAGUACGGACACUUUUUACAUGCAGAUGGUGCGUUCCACUAAACGUUCAAAGCGCCUGAAAGGACGUUCCACAUGGCGACAGACGAUGAGGGUAGUGUCCUAGGUGGAAUGAAAGGCCCCAUAUUCAAUUAUCACACAGAGUUGGAUUCUAAUUAAUAACGAUGUGAUUUAGAGGCAUAGAAACAAGGUCUAGAUAGAAGAGUGCCAUUUUACAAAAUUUUUAUUGAAGUUAAUUUAUAUAUUUGACAUUUAUAAAUUGAAAUAAUAUAACAGCAUUUACAAUGUAAUUA